rnacentral:rRNA from 1 species
GACGAACGCUGGCGGCGUGCUUAACACAUGCAGGUCGUACGGUAAGGCCCUUUCGGGGGUACACGAGUGGCGAACGGGUGAGUAACACGUGAGUAACCUGCCCACAACUUUGGGAUAACGCUAGGAAACUGGUGCUAAUACUGGAUAUGUGCUCCUGCUGCAUGGUGGGGGUUGGAAAGCUCCGGCGGUUGUGGAUGGACUCGCGGCCUAUCAGCUUGUUGGUGGGGUAGUGGCCUACCAAGGCGGCGACGGGUAGCCGGCCUGGGAGGGUGACCGGCCACAUUGGGACUGAGAUACGGCCCAGACUCCUACGGGAGGCAGCAGUGGGGAAUAUUGCACAAUGGGCGCAAGCCUGAUGCAGCAACGCCGCGUGCGGGAUGACGGCCUUCGGGUUGUAAACCGCUUUCAGCAGGGACGAAGCUUUUUGUGACGGUACCUGCAGAAGAAGCACCGGCUAACUACGUG